UAUCUUUGCUUGCUUUCUGUGUCAUCCAUGUAUCCAUGAAUUAAACUAGUGAUACAAAAGCCUGGCACUUUACUUUUCACUGUAAAGCUUUAUAGAGAGAACCUAUAAUAAUACCUGGAAUUGUACCACCUCUUUCUCUAUGCUGCUCCCAAAAUUACUAUGGACUAACAAGUGAAUAGUUAAAUGGAGGCAUGCUACUGCUGAGGGAAAUUGAAACUGUAUUUUCUCAAUGUGAGAAAAAAAAGUGUUUUUGCUGCACUGCUGGCAAUAAAAUGCAGUGUGUGUGCAUAAUGCAUUCUAAAGCAUUCCCAGUAAAAUCAGCAUGUUUAUUCUGCACAUUUGGAGCUUUAUAAAUUUGUAUGAGUUUUAAUGUGAAAGGGAAAAGAUUUAGACCAUAACCAAAAAAAAGGAGAAAUUAUCAAAAGAAGGGAGGUGACAUUGUUUUAAAGCACUGACUAUGUAAAAAAAAAGGAGAAAUUGAAGUUGCUGAAAAUAGGCAGGCAGGAGAAGGAGGGGACUUUCACGUCAUCCUGGGUAUUAAAGCAGCACAGACAUCCAAAGCAUAUUCAUUCAUCCAUCCUAAAUAUACUGAAAGUCACUGUGUGCUUCUCAUCCUUUGUUACUCAGGGAGGGAGCUUGCAGCAUUACUGCCUGUUACAUUAUUCAGGGAAAGUGCAGCACUCGCUUGGAGCAAGAUGAGUAAAAUUAUUGUACUGUGCUUAGGACUCACCAUACUGGCUAUCUUUUUACCCAAUCAGGUGGUCAGUGACAACACUACUGUAGCUGCUAUUACCUUGAACAAUACUACACCAAAUGGUAAUUCCACCAGCCUCUCACUUAGCACAAACACAGCUAACACUACCAUCAUUACCACCAAAUCAUAUGCGAGUUCUGUGUAUGCAGCCCCUACUAUUUUCCUUGGCUUUGCAACAGUUUCUCUUUUAACUAUAUAUUGUUGAGAGACUAUGGUUAUAUGCAACUCUGGCAUUACUCCAUUUCCUGCUCUUGUGUCAUUGAUCUGGCAUAAUCAUUAAGAACUGCGUGGAGGAACAUAGACCAGCCCUUCUGCUAAAUGACCAUGUCCCCCAGCCUAGACUGCUUACACCAUCAUGACUGAGAAGCUCUCACUGACAAACCCACAAGCCAAAGGCUGAAUGAUGUGGCAGCGCUCUCGUUUACAGCAGGAAUCUGCCAGUGACAAGCUCUAGUAUCACCUCCAGAAAAAGUCAUAUCUCUUAAAUGGAACCAGAUGAGACAAUAUCCCAAAGUGAAAUCAAAUCCAGGAUACAAGAGAUAAAUAAUGCACUAGACAACACAUGUGAAUUAGUACACGUCGGUUAAUCAAGACUGUUAAAAAAAAGAUACCUGGAUAUUGUUUACUCUUGCUUAAAUCAUUUACAUGAUGUAUAACAGUGAAAGUAGGUUAAUUUAAUGCUAAUAAGUGUAAAAUGAUACCCUUUCAAUAAAUUAGAAAUAAACUUUGA